UGGUGGGUCUAAAUGGACUCGAACCAUCGACCUCACGCUUAUCAGGCGUGCGCUCUAACCAGCCGAGCUAUAGACCC
rnacentral:tRNA from 1 species